rnacentral:tRNA from 2 species
GCAUCGGUGGUUUAGUGGUAAAAUUAGCCGUUGCCAUCCAGCUUCUUCAGCAGGACAGUUUCGGCUAGCCCCGGGUUCGAUUCCCGGCCGAUGCA